rnacentral:rRNA from 1 species
UUAAAGGUACCCGUACCGCAAACCGACACAGGUGGGUGAGGAGAGUAUCCUAAGGCCCGCGAGAGAACUGUUGUUAAGGAACUCGGCAAAAUGACCCCGUAACUUAGGGAUAAGGGGUGCCACCAUCCGGUGGCCGCAGAGAAUAGGCCCAAGCGACUGUUUACCAACAACAUAGGUUUCUGCUAAGUCGCAAGACGAUGUAUAGGAGCUGACGCCUGCCCGGUGCUGGAAGGUUAAGGGGAUCUGUUAGAGCAAUCGAAGCAGUGAACUUAAGCCCCAGUAAACGGCGGCCGUAACUAUAACGGUCCUAAGGUAGCG